GUGUCCGACUCUUUGUGACCCCAUGGACUAUAGCCUGUCAGGCUCCUCUGUCCGUGAAAUUCUCCAGGCAAGAGUACUGGAGUGGAUUGCCAUUCCCUUCUCCAAUGAGAUAUAUAGAACUCUACAAAUUAACAUUAUGGAAUAAUUACCCAAUUCUUAUAUUUCCACAGCAAUUAUGAAAUGACUCUAGAGUUUCAACAUGAAGUUUAAAGUUGGCCCUUUGCUUUAGUGAAUCAGGUAUGCAAAAAAAAAAAAGAAGAUGCUUUCUUUGCUUCAAAUUCCAUGGAACAAAAGAUAUAAACACACAGUUUUGCAGAAAGGCUCCUCUGUCCAUGGGAUUCUCCAGGCAAGAAUACUAGAAUGGAUUUCCAUGCCUUCCUCCAGGGGAUCUUGCUGACCCAGGGUUUGAACCUGUGCCUCCUGUGUCUCCUGAAUUGGCAGUAGUCAUGUAUGCAUAGAAGAGUUGGACCACAAAGAAAGCUGAGUGCUAAAGAAUUGAUGCCAUUGACUGGUGGUGUUAGAGAAGACUCUUGAGAGUCCCUUGGACUGUAAGGAGAUCCAAUAAUCAGUCCAUAUUAAAGGAAAUUAGUCCUGAAGGACUGAUGUUGAAGCUGAAACUCCAGUCC
ensembl:lncRNA